AGCGAACGCUGGCGGCAGGCCUAACACAUGCAAGUCGAACGAACCUUUCGGGGUUAGUGGCGGACGGGUGAGUAACCCGUGGGAACGUGCCUUUAGGUUCGGAAUAACUCAGGGAAACUUGUGCUAAUACCGAAUGUGCCCUUCGGGGGAAAGAUUUAUCGCCUUUAGAGCGGCCCGCGUCUGAUUAGCUAGUUGUUUGAGUUAAUGGCUCACCAAGGCGACGAUCAGUAGCUGGUCUGAGAGGAUGAUCCGCGACAUUGGGACUGAGACACGGCCCAAACUCCUACGGGAGGCAGCAGUGGGGAAUCUUGCGCAAUGGGCGAAAGGCUGACGCAGCCAUGCCGGGUGAAUGAUGAAGGUCUUAGGAUUGUAAAAUUCUUUCACCGGGGACGAUAAUGACGGUACCCGGAGAAGAAGCCCCGGCUAACUUCGUG
rnacentral:rRNA from 1 species